rnacentral:rRNA from 1 species
AGCCAGACUCCUACGGGAGGCAGCAGUGGGGAAUAUUGCACAAUGGGGGAAACCCUGAUGCAGCGACGCCGCGUGAGUGAAGAAGUCUUUCGGUAUGUAAAGCUCUAUCAGCAGGGAAGAUAAUGACGGUACCUGAGUAAGAAGCCCCGGCUAACUACGUGCCAGCAGCCGCGGUAAUGCGUAGGGGGCAAGCGUUAUCCGGAUUUACUGGGUGUAAAGGGAGCGUAGACGGCAUGGCAAGUCUGAAGUGAAAGCCCGGGGCUCAACCGCGGGACUGCUUUGGAAACUGUUAAGCUGGAGUGCAGGAGAGGUAAGUGGAAUUCCUAGUGUAGCGGUGAAAUGCGUAGAUAUUAGGAGGAACACCAGUGGCGAAGGCGACCUGCUAGAACAUAACUGACGCUGAUGCGCGAAAGCGUGGGGAGCAAACAGGAUUAGAUACCCGUGUG